rnacentral:rRNA from 1 species
GAUGAACGCUAGCGGCAGGCCUAAUACAUGCAAGUCGAACGAUACUUUCCAGCUUGCUGGAAAGGAAAGUGGCGCACGGGUGCGUAACGCGUAUGCAACCUACCUUAAUCAGGGGGAUAGCCCGAAGAAAUUCGGAUUAACACCGCAUAAAAUCACAGUACAGCAUUGUACAAUGAUCAAAUAUUUAUAGGAUUAAGAUGGGCAUGCGUGACAUUAGCUAGUUGGCGGGGUAACGGCCCACCAAGGCGACGAUGUCUAGGGGAUCUGAGAGGAUGACCGUCCGCACAGGAACUGAGACACGAACCAGACUCCUACGGGAGUAAGCAGUAAGGAAUAUUGGUCAAUGGAGGCAACUCUGAACCAGCCAUGCCGCGUGCAGGAAGACAGCCCUCUGGGUCGUAAACUGCUUUUAUUCGGGAAUAAACCUACUUACGUGAAAGUAGCUGAAUGUACCGAAGGAAUAAGGAUCGGCUAACUCCGUGCCAGCCGCCGCCGUAA